AGAAAGAGAGAAAGAGAAAAGAGAGGGAGAGAGAAAAACGAAGAAAAAUGUUAUUUCUUGCCAAAAACAUUUCGUUGCUCUUUUUUGUCGUCGUUUCUCUCUCUCUUCCUCUCUUCUCUUUUGCAAAUGAAAAUUAUUCCAAGCACUGCCGAAUUGGCCAGUUGUCAGUUGAUGGACUUGGACAUCAAAUGGAAGGGAAAUUGUCUUGUUUUGGAGUUGGCUCUCUUUUUGAUAAAUAUGAUUAUUUUCAUUUUAGCUUUUUUAAAGGAGAACACGAAUUUGUUGCAGACGAACUUGAGAGUUUUAUUAAUCUUGGUGGUAAUGUUGAUGUUAAAU
rnacentral:ribozyme from 13 species